CUUCCGGGAGCUCCGGAGCUCCGGGGCUUCCACCACAUCUGCCGGCUCAGGACGGGUCGUGCUCAUCCCUUAACUUUUUAACUUUUUGUUGUUUCUAUUUAUAUUUUAUUGUGCUAUGUCUUGAAAUGUUGUUGUAGCUAUUACUUUUGAUUGGAUAUUACUUAGUAUUCCUACUUUAAAUAAGAGUAGUUUGCACACCACACAGCUAUAGUGUUAUAAUAUUCUGUUUUGUUUUGUAUCCUAUUAGCAGUGAGGAUUUUUUUUUACCUUUAGGUGAUCAUUUAUUACUCAUUAAUGUCCUUUUCUUCCUGAUUGAAGUACUCCCUUUAGCAUUCCUUUAGGACAGGAUUUGUCCCCAGUGCCUUAUUUAGUUCACUUGGUGAGGUCAUGUUUUCCUGGAUGGUGUUGAUGCUAGUAGAUGUUCUUCAGUGUCUGGACAUUAAAAUCUUGGGCAUGCAGCACCAUAUGAGAAGUUUAAAAAAUAAAAUUUAAAGAGAGAAAAGUCUUCAGUGAAAAGGAAUUGCUGAUUGAGCAAGAAUUAAACUUCUAGAGACUCCUGGAUCCACUGAAGUUUGAGACAAGCUCUAGUCAGGAAGUGUUAGAGAGUUCUAAACAGGAAAUAUUCCAACACAUCAUCUAAGCAUGAAGCAGGAGACACCCAUAAUUGAGUUUGCUGCCACCAACCCCAACAGCAAGAAUUCCAGUCCUGCUGCUGCAAAGUAAGUGUCACUCUGAUUUUAUUGCUGCUGUGUAACCCAGUUUUAGACUCUCUGGUUCUCACUUAAUGUUCUAAAAAAGUAUUAAAGAGAAAAUUUUAUUCUGGUGAUGAGCCCAUCCACUGCAGCCAUCUCAACAUCAUACCAAUUAUAAGCCUAUCAUUUAAAAAGAAAGCUGUUAGUUUAACUUAUUUAUCCAAAUAUCAGUAUUACAUAAACAUAUUUGUCAUCAGACUUUGGACUUAUGGGUUAAAUAGCAUAUAAAUAUGAUUAGAGCCUUAAAGUUUACACUUCUCUGGUUCGCUCAAAUUUUUUUCAAAAUAGCAUAUGCCUUUCUAAACAAUGGUUAGUAUAUUUUUCAAAAUGAACAUUAAAAUGUAUAUUUUCCAAAAACAAAAUACAGCUCCCAUUGGUAAAUGAUGCUAUUGAGACACAACAGACAACUUCUCUUGGGAACCAUUUAAUCAGUGCUCACUUUUGCACUCUUUCCAGAAAUGUCAAUGGUUUUGAAAUAUAGAAGUAUAUUAUACAAAUAAACUUAUACUUAUUCAGUAUUGUGCAAUAUUUAGUAUUUCUUCUAGCCAUCUCUUGCUGAAUAGUAAGCCAUUCCAAAACUUACGGAAUUAUUUAUUGUUUAAUAUUGUUUAUUGUUAUUAUUUGUUUAGUAAUUUUAAUAACGUUAUUUCUCAUGGUUUUGUGGGUUGAUGGGCACUACAAAAGUUCUCUUUUGGAGUCUUUCUUGCAGUUGCGGUUGGUUGGCUGCUGCUGAAGUCACCUGAAAGCUCAAUUAGGCUAAAGAGUCUAAACGGGUCACUUACAUGGCUGGCAGUGCAUAUUGGCUGCUGAGUGUGAUGCCUAUCUGACCUCUCCAUGUUACCUGGAGUGCUCACAACGUGGUAGUUUGUCCCAAGACACACAGGCAAAUACUACAAAGCUUCUUAGGGCCUAGCCUUGGAGGUCCUAGAAUACGACUUCUGCUGCAUCCUAUUGGAAAAGCAAGUCAUUGUGACCAGCACAGAUUCAAGAAAUGGGAGAUUCGACUCUACCUGUCAAUGUAAACAGCAGCAUGUGCAUGCAGGGAGGAAAGAAAUUGAGGGCAUCAUCUUGAAGACUAUCAUAUCACACCAUUAUUCCAACUAGUGAACAUUAUGUUUUAGAUGGGUAGUACUAGCUACUCAUCUGUCCCCCAGAAACCCAAGCUAAGCAUGGACAUAUUGAAGAGAAUGUCAACACCAUUAAAAAAACUCUAGAAAAAUCACAUGUGAUGACUGAGGUUAAUUCAGUCUGUCAACUACAUCAAUAUAAUUGCCUUCUUGUAACCCUAAGUAUGGUGAAGCAGAAUUGAAUUCUACAAAAGUCUUUCAUCUGUUUUCCUAUGGAAUAAUUAACAAACCCAAUAAAUGUAUAAAUAGC
ensembl:lncRNA LINC01410 long intergenic non-protein coding RNA 1410